rnacentral:rRNA from 1 species
UACAGAGGUGGCAAGCGUUGUUCGGAAUUACUGGGCGUAAAGGGCGCGUAGGCGGCCUGGCAAGUGGAAGGUGAAAUCCCUCGGCUUAACCGAGGAACUGCCCUCCAAACUGCUUGGCUUGAGUCCGGGAGAGGUGAGUGGAAUUCCCAGUGUAGCGGUGAAAUGCGUAGAUAUUGGGAGGAACACCAGUGGCGAAGGCGGCUCACUGGACCGGAACUGACGCUGAGGCGCGAAAGCGUGGGGAGCAAACGGG